UCAAGAGACGUUUUCAGGAAGUGGCUUUUUUAUUGAUUUUUUUGCGAAAAUAAAAAUGUAAACAACAUAGCAGAGGGUUGCAUUAACACCUAAGAUGUGGAGGAAGCUGCAGCGGCACUUUAUAGCGGUCAUCUGGAAACCUGGACUCAGACAAUGCAGAUUUGACCUCCAAAGAUGAAGAAGACGAGGCACUGUGGCGGAUAAUCUGCUGAAGAUGGACGGCUGCCAUGCCGCCGUCUCCAGGAGCCGUGGAGCCAUCAGUUCCAGGUAAGAGGAGCAGAGACACUGAGAUGGAUCUCACAGAGCAGGGACUUUUAAGGUCAACAUCCUGGUGGCUGCAUAGUAAAUCUGAAGCUAUCACCUUACUUAUUGUCCUAUUUUAUAGACAAAAAUAGGAAUACAAAGUCAUUUACUAGCUUCUCAACCCCAUGUAAGAUAAAACUGAGAUGAAGUUUGUUUUAAAAAACAAAAAAUGUCUAUCUUUAACCAGAAUUUCAGU